UACAGAGGUCUCAAGCGUUGUUCGGAUUCAUUGGGCGUAAAGGGUGCGUAGGCGGCGCGGUAAGUCGGGUGUGAAAUCUCGGAGCUUAACUCCGAAACUGCAUUCGAUACUGGCGUGCUUGAGGACUGGAGAGGAGACUGGAAUUUACGGUGUAGCGGUGAAAUGCGCAGAUAUCGUAAGGAAGACCAGUGGCGAAGGCGAGUCUCUGGACAGUUACCGACGCUGAGGCACGAAGGUCAGGGGAGCAAACGGG
rnacentral:rRNA from 1 species